rnacentral:tRNA from 1 species
UUUUUUGUUCCCGAGCGGCCAAAGGGAGCAGACUGUAAAUCUGCCGUCAUCGACUUCGAAGGUUCGAAUCCUUCCCCCACCACCA